AGUGAACGCUGGCGGUAGGCCUAACACAUGCAAGUCGAGCGGCAACACGGUAAGAUCUCGCUCUUACGGUUGGCGGCUGGCGGGCGGGUGAGGCAUACAUCGCCAUCUUCUUAUUCGUGGGGGACUACGUAGAAAAGCAUACACUAAUAGCGCAUACGAUCUACCGCUGGGAUCAAGGGUUCUUGGGGCUUUGCCUGAUUCUAUUAGACGGUGUCGCAUUAGCUAGUUGGCUGGGUAAAGGCACACCAAGGCGACGAUGCGUAGCUGAUCUGAGAGGAUGAUCAGCCACACUGGAACUGAGACACGGUCCAGACUCCUACGGGAGGCAGCAGUGGGGAAUAUUCGGCAAUGGGCGAAAGCCUGACCCAGCCACGCCGCGUGAGUGAUGAAGGUCUUCGGGUUGUAAAGCCCUUUUGUUAGGGAAGAACAAAUGUAUAAGUAUCCACGCACGUCUUGACGGUACCUAAACAGUAAGCCCCGGCUAACUUCGUG
rnacentral:rRNA from 1 species